AACGAACGCUGGCGGCAUGCCUAACACAUGCAAGUCGAACGAGACCUUCGGGUCUAGUGGCGCACGGGUGCGUAACGCGUGGGAACCUGCCCUUAGGUUCGGAAUAACUCCCCGAAAGGGGUGCUAAUACCGGAUAAUGUCUUCGGACCAAAGAUUUAUCGCUUUUGGAUGGGCCCGCGUUGGAUUAGCUAGUUGGUAGGGUAAAAGCCUACCAAGGCGACGAUCCGUAGCUGGUCUGAGAGGAUGAUCAGCCACACUGGGACUGAGACACGGCCCAGACUCCUACGGGAGGCAGCAGUGGGGAAUAUUGGACAAUGGGCGAAAGCCUGAUCCAGCAAUGCCGCGUGAGUGAUGAAGGCCUUAGGGUUGUAAAGCUCUUUUACCCGGGAUGAUAAUGACAGUACCGGGAGAAUAAGCUCCGGCUAACUCCGUG
rnacentral:rRNA from 1 species